GCGCCCGUAGCUCAGCUGGAUAGAGCACCGCCCUCCUAAGGCGGGGGUCGCGCGUUCGAAUCGCGCCGGGCGCACCA
rnacentral:tRNA from 1 species